rnacentral:sRNA from 1 species
UAUUCUGCCCCACGGGGAAGGAUGAGAAGCUUCGACCAAGGUUCGACUCGAGCGAAGCGAGAGAACGUUGCCGCAGGCAACGGCCCGAAGGGCGAGGCGCUUUAGCGCCGAGUAAUCCUUCCCCCACCACUU